AUUGAACGCUGGCGGCAGGCCUAACACAUGCAAGUCGAGCGGAGCGGCGGACGGGUGAGUAAUGCCUAGGAAUCUGCCUGGUAGUGGGGGACCACGUCCGGAAACGGGCGCUAAUACCGCAUACUAUCAGAUGAGCCUCGGUCGGAUUAGCUAGUUGGUGGGGUAAAGGCCUACCAAGGCUACGAGCCGUAACUGGUCUGAGAGGGUGAUCGGUCACACUGGAACUGAGACACGGGCCAGACUCCUACGGGAGGCAGCAGUGGGGAAUAUUGGACAAUGGACGAAAGCCUGAUCCAGCCAUGCCGCGUGUGUGAAGAAGGUCUUCGGAUUGUAAAGCACUUUAGGUUGGGAAGCGGUACCAACAGAGUAAGCACCGGCUAACUACGUGCCAGCAGCCGCGGUAAUUC
rnacentral:rRNA from 1 species